UGCCAGGCGUAUCUGCCGCGGCGACCCCGAGAAAAGUGCCACAGACAACACGCCAGAAGGAGAUGCUCGUAUCCGCCGAUCCUUUGAGCGUGUCCUCUCCCGGCCGGUUCGACCAAUGGAAAGCCGAGCCAUCGGGAGUGGGAGAAACGGACAUAGGACCGGGAAGAAGGACGGAGCGCCAUUUUCACUCUUGAUUUUGACUUUUUUGGUUGAGGUGCUAAAUAGCAGAAGACACCGGUUGAUUUUUUGGACGAAUCGACGGAAGGAGCCGGAGAGACGAGGAGACCGACCCGACAAGCCUCAGAAAGAAGUUCGGCAAAUUUCUCCUGGUUAAAAAGGACACCGGCGCACCUCGAGGGAGCGUAUCCCCAGUAGGCAUAAACAGGAAGGCGACGAGAGACGCCCGGGACACAUCGAAGGACCAGGCUUGAUUUUUUCCUUUUUGUUUUGAAUCCAUAAGAACAGCAUUGUGUAAAUUUUAUUUUAGAGACAUUAGGGACGGAGAUUACCAGACCGUCGACCUUUAAGUCGAAGUUGCGGGUUCUCGGGAUUAGAAUGUCGGCUUAAGCAGAAUGGUUAAGAGAGCUUCGUAUGGAACUUUGGGCAGCGGGAUCAGAUAAUUUUUUGACAAAAAGAAUGUUGAAGUCGUAGUGAAUAGUGAGGUUACUGGAGCAGUAAGAUUGUAACUGAUAAUAUUGGGACAUACGGGAAAGUCUGCUGUAAAAAUGGUGUACAGGAUGGGAUCAAGAACGCUCCCUUGUGGAACGCCGGCUUGUAUUGGUCUAAUAUCUGAGUUCAUUGCUGCACCUCACUCAGAAGCUGAAAAGGAUAAGAUAAUAAGAACUGGGUAUAAAACGUUUAA